CAAGAAAGACUACACGUCGCAUAUGUGACGUCACUGCAUAACACAUUUUCCCUUCACAAAUCACGGUACGAUAAUCUAAGGAAUUAGAUCGCCUGUGUGUUUUGUACCCAAAUGUCACUAUUCAAAGAAUGGUUUGUUUAGCGGUAUCCGUGUGCUGGUGGUGGUGACGUACCGUAUAUCAAACGUGUCGAAACCAGCGAAGAGUUGUAGUCCACAGAGUGCUCUCAUACAAAGUCUAACCGUAUGAAAAUUCUACCCGCUAAGUUGUAGCAUUCUUUACACGAAAAAUUAUAUAAACAAUUCACAGACAACAUAUGUUCUCAGUCAUUGCAAAAUUCAAACGGGAUUAGAAAAUAAUUAUUUUCUCUCAUUCACUUGCAUUGACGAUUUUUCAACCUAGAGGCCCAGCAGGGUUAGCGGAAGGGGCGGUACUUACCAGCUCUAUAGUUUUGAACUUUAACAGAGAACCCGCCUACAAGGAAGUAAACGUUUCUCAAUGGAGAGAGGCCAGACUCUCUGUACAAAUGAAAUGUACGAGAGUCUGGUUGAACCAGGCUAGUACAUGUGGGAAGUGUAGUUUGAUGCCGACUGAGGCGGGAGUUUUUUAAAAGUAGAAAUGAUUUGAACUUGAGUGCAGUGUUUUUAGAACACCAUUUCAUGUGCGAGUUAUAACUCACAACAUUUGUGUGUGUUUACAAGGACAUGACUGUGGUUUAUGAGGACAUAGUUUGGUUUUACAAUAAACAAACAGACAACUACAGUGGCCAGCUAAACAAAUGUUUUGUUAAAGAUAUUCUUGAAUAAAUCCAAUGCAGCGCUGCCGAUGAUCUCCUGUUUUUCCUAGCAAAAUACUCUUAUAAGAAGUUCUACUCUCAUCUAUGUCUUUAGAUCCAUAAUCGAAAAAAAAAAAAAAAAAAAAAAAACAGCCGAAAACUCGAGAACUGAUUGAGAAGAAAUUGAAAGGAAACUGGAAAUUGGGUUGUAGGAGGAGCCCUGGCCCUGUAGGAAGAGCAUUUCCCACUGUGCCACAGUUCUUACAUAAAUAUUUUUUGUUAACUAACUGCAUCUGUGUGGUAUCACCAUCUCAGUGUGUUGGCAGUCUUCAUCUCUGAACAGCUUUUGCGAGUCACACCAGCCCUUUUCCUCCAAUUUCACAGCAGUUUUACCCCAGGAUAAAUAAUGCCCUGUUUUCAGAGCAAAAAAAAAGGGGGGAGAGAAAUCACAUUAUGAUUCAUCAGUCCACCAUUUUUUGAUUAAAACUCCCCCUUAAAACAUUUCCAUUCGCCUCGUUCCUUCGCCAACCCCCUGCCUCUGUUAUUUAUUCCAUAGCUGGUGAGUGCUAACUUUUUUUUUUCUUUUCUCCCUCACUGCUUUUUCUUGGCAUAAUUUGAUUGUGUGAAAUGACCAUGAAAAAACUAUUACAACAGGUCCUUAGCUGUGACGAACACAAACAGGCGGUGGGGCUUGUUUACAGAAGGCCUGACGGUAAUGGCUUUUUCCUGAGGUGUUGAAAAGAGAGCAUACGCAGCCAGUGGUUGGAUGGAAAUUUCAAAGAACACCAAUGUCACCUCUUCUCUUCUCUGAUGAUGUUUGCACUGGCGCGAGGGCGGGGGAACCACAUGAGAUCAUAUGAGAAUAAAAGCCUAAAUUCAGUCCGUUCAUCAUAAACGACAGUGUCUGUUCAGAAAAGUUGGAAUAAACCGCUCAAUUCAGAUAGAUUAGUUUUACGAUCUCUUUAUGAAAUCUCAUCUGUGUUCUGAGGUGUUCUUAGGGGUUUGGAGUGAGUAAAUUAUAAGAAUUUUCUUUUUGGGGGAACUAUCCCUUUAAUUCAGAACAGUUCUGAAGUAUCAUUACUCGGGAACUUUACACCAACUUGCUACUCUAUAAAAUGUCCAUAAAGUGUUAAUCUGUCAAGUUUUGUAAAAGUAUUCAGAUUCGUUUUACUGAAGAAGCCAGACUUGAUGGGAACAUGAAAAGCGCAAUGCCCUGUCUGGUGUCCUUUGCCUCUAACUUUCUCCCUCUCUCUUUUCCCCCCUCGUCUAUUCCCUUUAUACCGCCAGGGUCAAGGCUUUCCUCACCCACGACAUUUCUCUCCACAUCUUGUGGUUUUGAACUACAUCCAGCACCAUGCAAGACAACUUCAUCAAAGCGGUGCAGGGCCUAACGUGUCAUCCCACUGAUCAAAAACAUACAGUUCCAUUUUCACCCCUCACAACUGAAGAGGAGAAAAAAAAAAAUCUUCAAAGGACAGUCAGCUUCUUUCUAGCACGCACGUAAGAUGGUUUGUGAUGCUGCCAAUUUCUCUAAUAAUUCUGCUCUGGGGAUGGAGUGGUGAAGAGAGGAUAGGAAGAAAGGAUGGGGGGGGGGGUAUGUGGAAGAAUGCAACAUUUUGAUACGGAAAAGAGGUAAUAUUCAUUAGGUUCAUCAUUAAGAUAAACAGGGCUUAAUGACACCUUCUUUAAUUGGCCUUGGCGCUUAAUAACGAACCAUUUAAUUUGCUGAAUAGCUAUCCGCUCAUCUCCCCUCGGGGUAUACUAACUUCAGAAUGAGUGAUCGAAGAAAGAAAGGGAGCAAGAUGAAGAAAGAAAGGGAGUUCUGCAUUUUAGUGAGUAAUUAAAAGAACCCCGUUAGAAAGAGCAUCAUUCAGUUCAAUUUAACAACAUUUAUUGCAUGAUAUCAAAGUAGGGUAAAUGAUCUAUAAAUUCAUGAUUUGUUAGUUGGUCGACCUUACCGAUUGAUUAAUGAUUAACUGAUAAGCGGCUAUUUUCCUGAAAAUGUCAAUUUCUCACGGUAUCAAUAGUGUCUUUAACAUAAAAAGCAAAAUAUUGCUGAUAUACUGGAUAAAAAUGCAUGUUAUAUUGCCCAGUUGGUGUUUUAUUUUAACAGAUACGGUACAGAUAAUUGCCUUUAUGUAGUUAAACAAAAUACAUUAUGCAUAGAAAAUGAACAUACAUAAAACAUAAUUGUGCACUGGCUCACCUGUUGCAUGUGAAACAUUAAGCAAGAUAAAAUAUAUUUUAAAGAAAAAUCUAUGGGUAGGCUUAACCUAGACUAUAUUAAGCAUACAUACAGUAUAAUAAUCUAAACUACUUAUAUGAAACACUUAAUCCCACUUAUAAUCCCCCUUGGUCUGAGAAAGGUAAAAGUUCAUUAUUAGACAUACAAACCUUAAAUGUAGACUGAACACAACUUAAAUCAUCCCUGAGGAAGAUAAGCGUGAAAUUAAAGGGCAGAGUUUUCCAUACCCAUUUAUUUGUGGCGGCCCGCCACAAGAUCAACGUUGAUCACCACAAAAAAAAA